CAAAGUGUAGCUUAAAUAAAAGCAUCUAGUUUACACCUAGAAGAUAUCAAAAACAAAGGUCGCUUUGA
rnacentral:tRNA from 1 species